rnacentral:rRNA from 1 species
UAAAGGUGGCCUCUACAUGUAAGCUGCCGCUCGAAGAUGGGCCCGCGUCGUAUUAGCUUGUUGGUGGGGUAACGGCCUACCAAGGCGACGAUGCGUAGCCGGCCUGAGAGGGUGAUCGGCCACACUGGAACUGAGACAAGGUCCAGUCCCCUACGGGGGCCAGCAGUCUAGAAACUUGCACAAUCGACGAAAGUUGGAUGCAGCGACGCCACGUGGAGGAUGAAGCCCCUCGGGGUGUAAACUCCUGUCAGAAGGGAAGAAGGCGCGAGUGCUAAUACCACCCGUUGCUUGACGGUACCUUCGGAGGAAGCUCCGGCUAACUACGUGCCAGCAGCCGCGGUAAUACGUAGGGAGCGAGCGUUGUUCGGAUUUACUGGGCGUAAAGGGCAGGUAGGCGGGUGCGUAAGUCGGUUGUGAAAUCCUCUGGCUCAACCAGAGAACUGCAGCCGAAACUACGUACCUUGAGUUCAGCAGAGGGAAUCGGAAUCCUAGGUGUAGCGGUGAAAUGCGUAGAUAUCUAGGAGAACACCAGUGGCGAAGGCGGAUUCCUGGGCUGACACUGACGCUGAGCUGCGAAAGCGUGGGUAGCAAACAGGAUUAGAUACCCUGGUAGUCCACGCCGUAAACGAUGGGUACUAGGUGUUGGAGGACAUUGACCCCUUCAGUGCCGCAGCUAACGCAUCAAGUACCCCGCCUGGGGAGUACGGCCGCAAGGCUGAAACUCAAAGGAAUUGACGGGGACCCGCACAAGCAGUGGAGCAUGUGGCUCAAUUCGAUGCAACGCGAAGAACCUUACCUGGGCUUGACAUCUGGGGAAUUCUCUGGAAACAGGGAAGUGCCUUCAGGGAGCCCCAAGACA